rnacentral:lncRNA from 1 species
UAGUUUCUCUAUCUGCUGCUGUCACACUACUAACUAACACACACACUGGUUCAAUACUGUCACCAGCAACAUGACACAGCUCUCUGUCUCUUUCUGUAUGGUGUGUCGCGUUAGUUCCUCACUCACUCGUAUGCAAUCAGCUGGGGUUCUCGCCACGAUCAAAGGUGCUUCACAUUACUUUAGCCUAGUGUUAGCCUAGCAUUUAACCUAGCAUUACAUGUGCUAUGCUACUUUAGCAUCACAUGUGCUAUACUUUAACCUAGCGUUACCAUUUCUAGUGCUAUACUUUAGCCUAGUGUUAGCUAUGCUUUAUCAGAUUGUUAACGUCACCUUGGCUUUGCUUUAGCUUACUUUAGCCUAGUGUUAGCAUCACCAGUGCUAUACUUAGGUAUUGUGCUAACAUGUGCAAUACUUUAGCAUAUAACUAGCAUCAGAUGAGCUAUACUAUAGCCCAGAACUAGCAUCACAUGUUGUAUACUUUAACCUAGUGUUAGCAUCACCAGUGCUAUGCUUUAGCCUAGUGUCAGCAACACCAGUGCUAUGCUUUAGCCUAGUGUUAGCAUCACCAGUGCUAUGCUUUAGUCUAGUGUUAGCAUCACCAGUGCUAUGCUUUAGCCUAGUGUUAGCAUCACCAGUGCUAUGCUUUAGCCUAGUGUUAGCAACACCAGUGCUAUGCUUUAGCCUAGUGUUAGCAUUACCAGUGCUAUGCUUUAGCCUAGUGUUAGCAUCACCAGUGCUAUGCUUUAGUCUAGUGUUAGCAUCACCAGUGCUAUGCUUUAGCCUAGUGUUAGCAACACCAGUGCUAUGCUUUAGCCUAGUGUUAGCAUCACCAGUGCUAUGCUUUAGCCUAGUGUUAGCAUCACCAGUGUUAUGCUUUAGCCUAGUGUUAGCAACACCAGUGCUAUGCUUUAGCCUAGUGUUAGCAUCACCAGUGCUAUGCUUUAGCCUAGUGUUAGCAUUACCAGUGCUAUGCUUUAGCCUAGUGUUAGCAUCACCUGUGCUAUGCUUUAGUCUAGUGUUAGCAUUACCAGUGCUAUGCUUUAGCCUAGUGUUAGCAUUACCAGUGCUAUACAUCCAGUAUAUUGUGUAGAAGUGUUCAGACAAUGUGCCUAACUCUGCUCUGUCAAUUAUGUACAUAGCCUACAGUAACAUGGAGCUGAGAAUAAACUGGUUAUCACUGGGUCCUGGGUCUGCUUUUCUUAUGGACGCACACACGCAGUCACACACGCAGUCACACACGCAGUCACACACACAG